rnacentral:misc_RNA from 1 species
GUAGAAACCAUAAACCAAGUCAAUGUUUUUGGUUUAUUAAAAUAUCAAACUGAAAUCAACAGUUAAAAAGUAUUUUCAUAUUAUUGGUUUGGGAUGGUUUGGUUCGGAUUAGUCUAGUUGGACAGUUUGUGCAGGUUGAUGUACAGCCCUAGAUAAAUGUAUAAAUUUUGAUGUCUACAAAUUUAUUCUUUUUUGUUCAUUGAUUCCCCAUGUCUGUUAUGUUUUAAUUGUUUUACUUCAUAAAUUUGCCUCAAG